rnacentral:rRNA from 1 species
UUUGAUCAUGGCUCAGGACGAACGCUGGCGGCGUGCCUNNCACAUNCAAGUCGAACGAUUUAGCAUUUGAGCUUGCUUGNCUGCUGGAUAGUGGCGGACGGGUGAGUAACGCGUGAGCAACCUGCCUUUUUGAGGGGGAUAACACCGGGAAACCGGAGCUAAUACCGCAUAAAAUAUUGAAAUCGCAUGGUAUCGAUAUCAAAGGAGCAAUCCGCAGAAAGAUGGACUCGCGUCCGAUUAGCUAGUUGGAGGGGUAACGGCCCACCAAGGCGACGAUCGGUAGCCGGACUGAGAGGUUGAACGGCCACAUUGGGACUGAGACACGGCCCAGACUCCUACGGGAGGCAGCAGUGGGGGAUAUUGCACAAUGGGGGAAACCCUGAUGCAGCAACGCCGCGUGAGGGAAGAAGGUUUUCGGAUUGUAAACCUCUGUCCUAGGUGAAGAUAAUGACGGUAACCUGGGAGGAAGCUCCGGCUAACUACGUGCCAGCAGCCGCGGUAAUACGUAGGGAGCGAGCGUUGUCCGGAAUUACUGGGUGUAAAGGGUGCGUAGGCCGGCCUUNNUGGGUCCAGGCGGUGAAAAUAACAUGGGGCUNAACCCAUNGNACUGCGCUUGAAACUAUAANGGCUUUGAGUGAAGUAGAGGCNAGGUNGGAAUUCCCGGUGUAAGCGGUGAAAUGCGUAGAGAUCGGGAGGAACACCAGUGGCGAAGGCGGCCUGCUGGGCUUUAACUGACGCUGAGGCACGAAAGCAUGGGUAGCAAACAGGAUUAGAUACCCUGGUAGUCCAUGCCGUAAACGAUGAUUACUAGGUGUGGGUGGACUGACCCCAUCCGUGCCGGAGUUAACACAAUAAGUUAAUUCCACCUGGGAAGUACGAACCGCAAGGUUUGAAACUCAAANGGAAUUGACGGGGGGNCCCNNANAAGCAGUGGGAGUNNUNUGGUUUAAUUNGAAGAUACGCGAAGAACCUUACCAGGUCUUGACAUCCGACUAACGAAGUAGAGAUACAUUAGGUGCCCUUCGGGGAAAGUCGAGACAGGUGGUGCAUGGUUGUCGUCAGCUCGUGUCGUGAGAUGUUGGGUUAAGUCCCGCAACGAGCGCAACCCUUACUGUUAGUUGCUACGCAAGAGCACUCUAGCAGGACUGCCGUUGACAAAACGGAGGAAGGUGGGGACGACGUCAAAUCAUCAUGCCCCUUAUGACCUGGGCUACACACGUACUACAAUGGCCGUAAACAGAGGGAAGCAAAGCCGCGAGGUGGAGCCAACCCCCAAAAGCGGUCUCAGUUCAGAUUGCAGGCUGCAACUCGCCUGCAUGAAGUCGGAAUUGCUAGUAAUCGCAGAUCAGAAUGCUGCGGUGAAUACGUUCCCGGGCCUUGUACACACCGCCCGUCACACCAUGGGAGCCGGUAAUACCCGAAGUCAGUUACUUAACCGUUAAGGAAAGCNCUUCNAGGGGGGUAGGAUUGGCGANCUGGGGUGAAGUCGUAA